rnacentral:rRNA from 1 species
GAUGAACGCUGGCGGCGUGCCUAAUACAUGCAAGUCGAGCGAACGGACGAGAAGCUUGCUUCUCUGAUGUUAGCGGCGGACGGGUGAGUAACACGUGGAUACCCUACCUAUAAGACUGGGAUAACUUCGGGAAACCGUAGCUAAUACCGGAUAAUAUUUUGAACCGCAUUGUUCAAAAGUGAAAGACGGUCUUGCUGUCACUUCUAGAUGGAUCCGCGCUGCAUUAGCUAGUUGGUAAGGUAACGGCUUACCAAGGCAACGAUGCAUAGCCGACCUGAGAGGGUGAUCGGCCACACUGGAACUGAGACACGGUCCAGACUCCUGCGGGAGGCAGCAGUAGGGAAUCUUCCGCAAUGGGCGAAAGCCUGACGGAGCAACGCCGCGUGAGUGAUGAAGGUCUUCGGAUCGUAAAACUCUGUUAUUAGGGAAGAACAUAUGUGUAAGUAACUGUGCACAGCUUGACGGUACCUAAUCAGAAAGCCACGGCUAACUACGUG